UGACACCUGAGGGUCAAAGGCGCAAGUCGCCUGUGGAGGAGCCUGCGUUUGAUUAGCUAGUUGGUGGGGUAAAGGCCUACCAAGGCGAUGAUCAAUAGCUGGUUUGAGAGGAUGAUCAGCCACACUGGGACUGAGACACGGCCCAGACUCCUACGGGAGGCAGCAGUGGGGAAUAUUGGACAAUGGGGGCAACCCUGAUCCAGCAAUGCCGCGUGUGUGAAGAAGGUCUUCGGAUUGUAAAGCACUUUCGACGGGGACGAUGAUGACGGUACCCGUAGAAGAAGCCCCGGCUAACUUCGUGCCAGCAGCCGCGGUAAUACGAAGGGGGCUAGCGUUGCUCGGAAUGACUGGGCGUAAAGGGCGUGUAGGCGGUUUGUACAGUCAGAUGUGAAAUCCCCGGGCUUAACCUGGGAGCUGCAUUUGAUACGUGCAGACUAGAGUGUGAGAGAGGGUUGUGGAAUUCCCAGUGUAGAGGUGAAAUUCGUAGAUAUUGGGAAGAACACCGGUGGCGAAGGCGGCAACCUGGCUCAUUACUGACGCUGAGGCGCGAAAGCGUGGGGAGCAAACAGGAUUAGAUACCCUGGUAGUCCACGCUGUAAACGAUGUGUGCUAGAUGUUGGGUGACUUAGUCAUUCAGUGUCGCAGUUAACGCGUUAAGCACACCGCCUGGGGAGUACGGCCGCAAGGUUGAAACUCACAGGAAUUGACGGGGGCCCGCACAAUCUGUGGAGCAUGUGGUUUAAUUCUAAGCAACACGCAGAACCUUACCAGGGCUUGCAUGUAUAUGCUGCUUGCAGAGAUGUCUGCUUCCCCCUUGGCACCUCUCAACCUCUUUGCUGGAGGGUUGCUCGUCUUCUCUUCGUCUUCAGAUGUUUGAGUUAAUGUCCUUCACCGCGGGAUAUCCCUCUUCUCUCUCUUCCUUCUCCUCUUGGAUUGGAACGUUGUUUUGAUAAAUCAGGAUGACUUACUCUGAAUAAGUUU
rnacentral:rRNA from 1 species